UACGAAGGGGGCUAGCGUUGUCGGAAUUACUGGGCGUAAAGCGCACGUAGGCGGACUAUUAAGUCAGGGGUGAAAUCCCGGGGCUCAACCCCGGAACUGCCUUUGAUACUGGUAGUCUCGAGUCCGGAAGAGGUGAGUGGAAUUCCGAGUGUAGAGGUGAAAUUCGUAGAUAUUCGGAGGAACACCAGUGGCGAAGGCGGCUCACUGGUCCGGUACUGACGCUGAGGUGCGAAAGCGUGGGGAGCAAACAGG
rnacentral:rRNA from 1 species